rfam:Clostridium chauvoei JF4335, WGS project CBML01000000 data, contig: 00005
UAAAAGAAAAUACUGUUUCCAAAGACAGUAGGUGCCGAAAGGUUUAAAGAUAAUCGCCUACCUAGGAAUGCCAAGGUUAGUGAUUAUUGGUCUUCCUGCGUCGAUGGGAAGGCCUUUCUUAAUAUAAAU